ensembl:lncRNA
GUUGAGGAGCACAUGGACGACAGAGGACGAGAUUUUAGCAGCGCGGCUAAUUAAAGCAGCUCAUCGCCUGAGGGGGGAAAAAAAGACAUCUCAGGACUAAAUUUAACACCGGGAACGCAGACACAGGCUUGUGUUUUAUAUCAGACGGGCAAAAAAACAAGAAAAAAAGGUGAGUUUAAAGUGUAGUUUGUUUGUUAAACGACAUCUUGAGCUUUUUGUUUUUUUUAGGCUAAACACAAACACAAACAAAUGUCCUGUGUGCUCGUGUGAAGUUAAAGGUAUUUACUUCAGAAAUAGUGUGAACAAUGAGUGGAAAGUCUUUUCAAAAGGACUUGAAGUCAUGUUUUUGCAGAGUUAGCAUGUAGCCUUCAUAUCAAAUGGUUAUUUAUUUGUUAUAAUCUCAUUGCAUCAUGUUGCAACUCACUUAUUUUAUUAUACUGUAUUGUUUGAUUUAUUGCAUACAAGUUAAAUAGAAGAGUAUGUUCUCAAAUAUUUCAUCUUUUUUUCUUCUUCUUCUAAACAUUGUUGCUUGUGCAAAAAUGCACUGAGAAAAGUGUGUGCAUUUAUUUUAUCCUGCCAUUUUACCAAAAACCCAUAAGCAGGAGGUCAUAAACUGAGGCUAUAGACAUGCCUCCACGUGAUAAUAACCUCCAGCUGCUUCAGCUAUGGCUGUCACUCGCAGCCCUUUAUGACAUGUCUCUGUGUGAGUAUUGACCUUAUAAAUUAUCUCCAAAAGUUAGGCUAUAAUUAACCACACCGCUGUCGAGGGCUUCACGGAGGAUUUACAAAGCCCGGUCCUUCUGCACAGGUCGUGACCUGCGUCCUCCUGAUGAUGCGACGUGUGAUGUCACCUCCACCGCAAGCUCCUAUCGAUGAACCUUGACAAAGCGAGGCCCCUAAUUACCGAAGACUCGUCACCUACCUCGGCUUGAUGCUGUACAUCUUUUAUGUUCAUGCUGGCAGGCCACAAGUCGCUCGUGCCUCUUGUUGCUCGUGGGUCACGUUCCAACGAAAAUUGGUAGUAGCUAUGUAUAGCUUCUAGCGCUCAGUAAUUUAAACACCUGGUAAAUAAAGCACUAAAGAUUGUCAAGAUUGGUGGUUUGAUUGAUUUGUUACGUGCAAGGUUCGGUCAGUCCGUACAGGAUUUCACUUACGUUUUAUUGUUAUUUUUUUUAUGAAUGGUUUGGCCCAAAAUGCUCAAAAUGAUUUUAACGGAAGACUACUGACGAAAUUGCAAUUGCACGAAAUUGUUCUUUCGCAGUGAUGAGAUCUUUUUAGCUGUACCGAUGUUCACGUGAAUCGAAAAGGCCGUUGUGAUGACGUCACGUCACGCGCCUUAGUUUAAAUCGGCGGUAAAUUUGAAAAACUUGCAAGCUCUUUCGAAUAUUGCGGAGUUUAAUUGAUUUCGUGUUAACUUAUGUGAUCGCCAAGUCGCUAAAUCCUGGAGGGACUGCUCUGGACAAGCUUCACUGGCAAUGCAAGCUAGCUAGCGCCUUCCUAGAGUUACAACCUUUGAAGCUUUCUUUUUCUUUGUAACGCCUGUACACAUUUAACGCGAGGUCGGACAUCACGGGAUAAACGUUUUUCUUCCACUUUUGCACCUUGAGAAGUAAAAGGUAGGAGUCGGGAACUGAAGAAACAUCCGACCACACGCGCCGUAGGAUCGGUCCGAGGAAACCUUCGAGCCACUGGUUUGGAUCUGUCCUGUUACUACGUCAUGCUGUAUUUUUUGUUGUUGUUGUUGCACAGAAUGAAGAAAUCUCUCGUGUAAUGUUGCGCUGUCACUAUGUCACUUGUCAUACACACUAAUGUUGGUUGUCCAAGGUCAAGGUCUUUAGCAAGUCAAGCGGAAGAAAAGGUCAUCUGAGGUGACCUCGUGAGGGUGGUGCACGUGAAUGUGUGGAGUCUGGAUAAUCAUGUUCGGAUGCCGUGUGAAGCGAGCACAGAUAUCAUCAUUCACUGGCUGAGGGGCACCUCGGGGAGCCUUUGGCAGCUGGUGGAGCAGACGGGAGUGAUUGCGGCAGCAGUAUGGCUGCGUUAGCUUUGAUUAGAAAAGCGUGGACGCUGAAUUGAGCGUGUAGGAUGAUGUCUGUGUCAAACCUAAUGAUUUGUCUGACUGUGUUUAUGUUGGAGGUGGGGGCGGCUCAGUCUCGUUUAAUAAUUCCGUGGGCUAUAUAUAUAUAUAUAUAUAUAAUGUAUAUGUAUAUGUAUAUAUGUAUAUGUAUAUAUAUGUAUAUAUGUAUAUGUGUGUCCUGAUAAGUAGCUUACAUGACUGAAUGGGACAAAAAUGACUCUUUAAUGGUUAACCUGUCAGUAGUUAAUGGCUAUAAAUAAGACGCAUCAGUUUUGUUUCCUACUGCAUUUACCACUUUUGACUACAGACACCAACUUUGAACAGAAGAAACAUCUGCUUUAGGGCUUGAAGUGGAGAAUAAGCGCAUACUUUUUUAUUUUUCCCCACACUUGCAUUCGUCUUCAAACAUUCUGUCCUCAUUGUCAUCUUAUUUAUUAACAAGUCACGCUGUGACUUCGCUAAUCAGACCAAAAAAAAAGUGAAAUAAAAAUCUGUGAAAGUCUAUAAAAACUACCCCCCCCCCCAUAACCUUCCUUCAAGGUAAAUCAUUUUCAUAAAUGCCUGUGAUUGGCUCUGACUCGCAGCCUGAGGGUCCCUGGUUUGAUCUUGAGCUCAGUUUACUGUCUCUGGAGGUUCACUUGUUCUCGCCGUGUUCCAAAAGAGUUCCAUUUAAAGCACAUCCACUUUGUGUUUAAAGUCCCCAUGAAUUAAAAAUGUGACGUUCCGUGGCUUUUAGUAUGAAUAUAUUCGCCUUAAGAUCAUCUCCAUGCUAGUGUGCUUCACAACAAUGACAGAAUUUCCAUUUAGAAGAUGUACAGUCUCUCUACCACCGAAACGGAUCGACAGUUCUGAUGACCUCAUUCUGCACCUCAGCGUCUCGUCAGGUUUUCUGUCCAAUCCGAUGCUCUCUAGAAUCUGAAGUGUCCCGCCCCCUGACAUUAUAAAAAUCCACGGUACUAACUGUCAAGUACGGCUUAGCUUGGGCUGUGAGGUAAGCUAAACACUCCUGGCGAUUUAAAAAGGGGGAGGAGCCACUCGGUAUGUCCCGCCCUGAUGUCCUGUUUCAGUGGAAAUUACAUCAACGCAUCAAAUAAUGCUUUUAUAAUCAUUUCAAGGCGCUUUAAAUUCAGAUACAUAGACGCAUAUUUGGAGCAUAGAUACAGAUGGUGACGUCCGACCAGAAAACGUAAAAGGACCAGCUGUACAUCUGACUUAUAAACUGCUGACACUGGAGUCUCCUUCCAUGAGCAUUCUUCCAUAGCAACUUCUCAGUAUGUGUUUUUAUUUAUACUUCUAAAAAGCUUUCGUAAUCUUUAUUUUUUUACACUAACAAUUAAAUGGUGCCGGAAAAAUCCCUAUAAAUUAGUUGUUACAAUAGGAAUACUACUACUAUCACUACUACUAAUAAUGCAUCGAAACUAAGUAUUUAAUGUAUAUCUGAUUUAAUUUUCAGCAAGCAUUACUUGCCACACUGUUCUAGAAAAGUAAUCGAGACCUUCAGACCGAUCACAGUCAGAAAAUCAGUAGUGCCAUGACGAAAUAAUUUCACAUGGCCAUUCACUUUUAAGCGAUGAUAGCCCUGUCCUUCUGUGUUCUGAGAAAAACUUGGAUCGUUCACAGGAACAAGGCCUGGAGAUAUGUGAACCUGUGUUCCUGCAGUGUGAAUAACCUGGAGUUACCCCACUCCCCCCCCCCCCCCCCCCUCUCUCUCUCUCUCUCUCUCUCUCUCACAUUUCAGUUACUUAAGUUCAUGACAUUAAUAGAACGCAGUACAUGGCGUAAGUUACUAUCAAAGCUUACGCAAUGUUAUAUAAAGGGAAAUUAAACCUAAAAAGUAAUGCAUAAAAAAUGCUAUUAUAUAAUAUAUAUAAUACAAACAUUGUUUUUAUACAAGUUUAUAAGUUUAUAUUAUGUAAGUACUUUUUAUGGAUGCACAAAAAGCAGAGGAUUAAACGACAGGCGUGUAAAUAUGUUGUGUCUGAUCUACGCACCACGAGUUAAGGGAAGAAGCAUGAUCGGGCUUGCUGUUCUAGUACAAAUAAACAUCGGUGGCACGGUUUGCUACGGACCUGACGCAACGCCACGUUACUGUUCAGACCACAAAGUUGAUUAUUUCCUAGUAACUGCAGUUCCCGAAGUGUUUCCACUCUCAACGCUGGUUUGUCAACGAUUAACCCGUUUAGUUUAAUACAGAACGACACAUCGUGCUUUUUAAUCGUCUGUAGUUGCCUCGAAUGAAAUGCACACCACUUCAGGGCGAUCCGUGAACACGUCGCUGAAAGCCGGACCGCAACGGAGGACCAAAAACGACCGACCGCGUCAUUGCCCUAGCUAGAAAAUAGGCAAUCGGUGCGAGACUGUUUGGAAACGGUGCAGGACGUCGGAGCUCUCUGCCGCUAGUCUCAUGGAUCGAGACGACGCUGUGACGGCAACGACGAAAGCAGCGAAAUGCUUUUCACUGCUUCACUCGUCCUCGCAUCUCUCACUCGUUGAUCAAUUUCUUUAGCAGACCGCACGAUUAAAACGCUUGACGCGUUAAAGCCGUGCGUACAGGGACACCAGAGAGGAUUUGCAGGAUGGAAGGCUGACGCAAUAAUCUUACGUCAGUCCUUCCAGGAUUUUGCAGAAAUGAACGCAAAAUCAAGGAAAACUCCAAACAUUCGAGGAGAUUUUUUUUCUCUCUCUCGAAAUUACCGCCGAUUCGGGCCGAGACGCGUCACGUGACGUCAUCACGACGCAUGUCGAGCCAAAGCCCUCUUCGAUUCACGUGCGUCGAACGUGAGUACAGCUAUAGUCUUACCAGCAAACGUCAAGACCGUGCAAAACAAUUUCGCGGAAUUGCGAUUUCGGCAAUGCGGGUAGAUUACCGCCAAACCAAAACUCCGCAAAUUGCGUCGCAGGUUUAAAAAAUAAACUGCAGCACGGUUGAGCGUUUUUGGCCGCGACGAUCAAAACCCCUCCUGUAUGUGAAAUCCUGUAUGGACAGAUUAAACGAUAUCAGAAAUCCGAUCAGAAGUAGUCCCUGAAGACUAGUCACUGAAGUAGUCUUGGCUGUCUGCUUGUGAUCCGAUCGCCCAGGACGCAUGUUGAUACCAGGUGUGAAAAAGCGCUUUGAUUACAUGGAGUGUUACUAUAGAAACAGUAUUGUAUUAGAACAAGUACAUUGUGAAGUACAGCCACUACGGCCCGAGAAAAUCGAACACCCGACGACCGGUUUUUUUCGCAGCCGUUCAAGAGGCUCAAGAUAUUUGUUGUAGGUUGUUUUCGGUUUGUUUGCUUUUCUCUGUGUGCUCGUAAGUUGACCGAGUAAAGAAAAAAACGUUGAAUAAACAGCGGUAAGCCUUGAACACUGCGUGCUGGCUUGAGUUCACCUCUUACUGUAGAUCUUUGUGAUACAACAGUGCAUUGUCCCAGGAUGCAUCACUGUUAUUUAAUCCCAAACAAGCUCCAAUAUCCGGCUCCCUUGCGGGCAAACGUCUGAGUCAUUCGCUUAUGAAGUCAUCUAUUUAAGCGCUCGGUCGGUACUGUUUACCAACAUCUGCUGUAGCCCGAAAACAGGAAUUCUGUUUCAAAGGUAGUGCUUGAUGUUUUUUAAUCACCAGCGAAAGGAAAAGCUCAAUUAUGCCGUAAUGAAUCACCCGGCUUGUGCUGUGGGUCUGGUUAUGACACAGACGCCGCUCAUCACGCUGAAUACGAACGGCUUUGAGUUGCUGUGUGUUUUCAUGAGCUCACGAUGAGUAACCGAGUCCUCAUUGACGGCGACUCUCUUUGAAGAAACCGUGCAGCUCUCCAGAGAAGGCCGAGUUGCUCCGGACGGCUGUUUACGUAAAGGAGAGGAGAUGGGUCACCAUCUGGAGAAAGCGAUACCAUCGUCACAGGUUCCUGUCAUUUGAAGUGCCCUGUGGUGUUUUUUUCUUUUUUCUUUUUUCUACACGUCUCUCUUCUGAGCGAAGUAGCCGGGAGGUUGCUCUUUUCAUCAGGUGUAAUUUUAUAUGCUGCCGUUCCUAAGAUGUGGACGUUGUACGAGAUCCUUGUGUGUGUGUGUGUGUGAGAGAGAGAGAGACACACGGCGGGGGGUGUUUGAGCUGGCCAAAAGAGCUUCAUGUUCUCCAAGACUCUCAUUCACGUAUAGACACGACACAGCCAUGUGUGAAUUAUUUAACACGCCGGUCAUGUCGCGGACGUGAAAUCUAACACUACGGUCUUAACGUUCACCUGAACGCGAUACGGAAGUUCUUUUGUUGACUCCAUUUCCUGUUCAGUAUAUUUUUAUUCACCGUUCCACCUUACAAGGUUGAAGAUACCUCCGUGCUGUAAAUACGAAACGCAAUACAUUUGUGGUGACAUCACGACAUCAUUCCUCCGUAAUCAUUGUUUAGACACUAGCGGCGCUGUGGUCCAUCACGGAAGUGAAAGUCCACACUUUAGGCAAUCCUAGAGUCAUGAUGAAGCGUUGGAAAUGGCCUCCUGCUGAUUUCAUCCCCGCUCGUUCGAAGAGACGUGUUCAGCUGACUGGUGGAAAGCUCCUUGGAACAGAUGGGGCUGUAAAGGGAGGAGACCUGCCCUGUUAGCCCUGGUUUUAAUUUCUCCUCAGCUCUGGCACUGCAGCGCUAUGGAACAGAUGCCAGGGCAGAUCUUCCUACCAAGUCUAGCGAGAGGAACGAGGAGAGACGACGGCGCUCGUUACGCGUGCCCGGAGGAACUGGAACUGAGCUUCGGUUUGCGACCGGCUCUCGAACGCAGAGCUCCUCUCUCGAUUAGGCACUCCGGAGAGUUGAGGCCGGAUGCUUCAGACGAGAAAGGGGUGAGCCAGAUCAAUUACGACGGAUCACGUCACUAAUGGACCUAAACUGAUAAAGCGAGGACAUCCUGUGUCGGGAGCCGUUUCGUCUGCGGCUCUGCAGAACGGAGAGGGAGAACGGACGGAGACGGAGAUGGCACCAUGCUUACGAAAAUCCUUACGAUUGAAAUGUACAGCUCGUAUGAUAACUGGAUUUAUUCGGAAAGUCCUUAGAAACGUCCUUAUAAAAGAGGACCAUGUCGAAUUAGAAGUGUAUCAGUGGACGGGAUGUGACGACAGGUUUUUUUUUUCGUUUGUUUUUGUUUGGGUUUUUUUUUGACCCAGCACACACACACACACACACAGCUUCAUUCUUUCCUAAUUCCUCUCCUUCACUCUUUUUCCUUCCGCACUGAACAGGAACCCCUUGCAUUAGCCACCCUGUGUGCCAAAGUUCCAUCAAACAUGCCCUUGGGUGGAGCUGCCUUCUAUUUUUAUUACUGCGCUGUUUUUGAGCCAGCAGAUGGUCAUUGUGUUCUAUCCAGAGAGAUGUGUGUUUCUGUAGCAGCUGAUUUACCUCUGGGGAAAGUCAGCCUCUAGUAGCUCCUGCCAGAGUACUUGGAAUUUUCCUGAAGCGUGGUGUUACACAGGAUUCUUGGUGCCAGAUGGCACAUGACUUUGGCUUACUGAGGCAUAUGCUGGCUGGCUUUAUCCUGCAUGGGGGUGGUGCAGUUGGCGUCACUUACCCCCAAACUCUUGGGAUUAACUACUGUAAUUCUCUAACUCCUGCACAGGGAGCUGGAAUCAAAGCCUGCUAUUUCUGGUUUCAAUAGGCCUUGUGUCGUAACCGAGCGAGAGCCAAAGAAGAUGUUUAUGAAAGUUGAUGUCUGUUUAAAAGUCGACACUCCUCCCGGGUUUCCGUGAAGUCGGUGUUAUGAUUGUCGUGUGUUGAAAUUAGUGCAACCCCUGCUUGCUUACUUUCGCUUGGGAAUAAUUGAUCAAUAAUCUCAAAAAUUGAUUUAUCGGGGUGCGCGGUGGCUUAGCGGUUAGCACGUUUGCAUCGGACCUCUCGGGUCGGGCGGUUCGAUCCCCGCCCCCGCCCUGAGUGCGUGGAGUUUGCAUGUUCUCGCUGUGCUUCGGGGGUUUCCUCUAUUAAAAACUAUUUUUCCUGCUCAGCCUGUGCAUUAGCAGCUGGUAUCUGGUCAGAUCAAGAUGGAUCUUUUAGCCUUAGGAGUAUUAAUCCCGUAAUAACAUUACAAAGUGCAUUGUGUGAUGCAAAGUCUGCUGUCCAACUAGAAUCUCGCGAGGACUUUAUAACCCCUGUUUUAUUAGUGGCUGCAGAAAAACUCCAUGGUAGCAUGUUUGUGUCGGCUGGUUAGAUUUUGUUUGGUGUGUAAACGUGAGGUGAUUCGGCCCGUACAGUAUUGGAAUACUCCGAGGUUUUUUGUGUGAUUGUUGCGGCCAAAAAUGCGAGAUUUUGCUGCGGCUUUUUUUUUUCCCCCCAAAGUUUUCGAUGCAAAUUGUGGAGUUUUUGAGCUUUUUUGCGGAAAACACGAAUUGGCGCAAUUGCACGGAAAUCGUUUGCACGGACUUUCACAGCGAUGUUUGUUGGUAAAUGAGACCUUUUUAACUGUACUCGUGAUGUCUCAACACGCGUCUUGGACAAAUCUGCGGUAAUUUAGAAAAAUUGCAGGUUCCUCAGAAUACUGCGGCGUUUGCUUGAUUUUGUGUUAAUGUCUGCGAUCGUAAAAUCCUAGAGGGACUGGUCAUUGCGUGCAUUACUAAUAGCGUUAGCAGAGUAACAGUGCCUCUUGCAAUAUGCUCCAGUGUUAAAGCGCACCUCGUAUGGUUUUGAAACGUGCCUAAUUUAGUUUUAAUGGUCUCAUUCGAUAGAUUUACAUAAAAACACUUUAACGUGCUCAUCAUUUAAACAGCAGCGUUACCUUUUUUUCCCCCUCAGUGUCACAAACGACUCGUUCAACGAUCCGUUCUAAAUGAUUCAUUCUAAACUCCUCCUUUCGGAGAGCAUACUCUGCUCUGAUUGGUCAGACGUCCCAGUCUGUCGUGAUCGGUCUAGCGCUGUCGGCGAGCAGCCGAUGAAGUCCAGAGACGGGGCUUUUUGUUACGAACCUACGUAGGUUAGUACAGGAAGUAAAGUCUGGAAUCACUAACGAAUCGUUUCAGCUGUUCAGAAUCGAUUCCUUCUUUCGGGAGUCGAUAACUCCGUUUGUCGUGCGCUUUGAUGUUUGAAACUUUCCAGAGUUUUUACAUUCACAAACCGCUCGAUAUACACACUACAUGAACGGUAAUAUCUAAAAAAACCACAAUAGGUGCACUUUAACGAUUUUCAGUCCGGAGUCACCAAUUGCUGUGGCCAGGCACAAUGACGCAGAACAGCAAGUGGGCUCAACCCUAAAAAAAAACAUCGCAAGCACACCCGACAAGAGUACACAGACCAGUUCAAACUUCAUAGCUUUGGUCCAGCUUAUUUAUUUAUUUUUAAAAAAAAUUUGGCUACACUAAUAUGUCGUCUGCUACAGAAGCAAAAAUAAGCGUAUGAUCUGCGAUGCUAGUUAUUAAAUCACCAUUACGAAUGUGCUGUAGCUAGCAUGACUGUGCAUAAUGUAAACCUUGCGUACUAGUCACAGCCCAGAUGUGUUUUGUUUUGUUUUUUUGUGCACUUUCUGAUAUUUGUGCUUACACUGUACAUUGAUUUAAAAAAAACAACAAGUUUUAUGAUAAAAUCUGAGCUUGUGUGUACUCAGUGACAGUUUUGUGAGUUUAUAAGAGCCGAGCUGGAAUUAUCUGACCUUUCUGUGCUAUGUGUCGGGAAGCCUGAUUACUUGUUAACAGACCACCACCACCACCAUGGAAAGAAUUAAAAAAACAAAACAAACAAACCUCCAUUUAACUCUUGGCGGGGUUCCUUUUUUUCAUGAUUGCGCUUUUCCCCCCCCAUCCCACUGCAGAGCUUUACUCCAACAAAACCGAUCCAAUUUAGGGACUCAUUAUGUAGCCUCAUAAAGAUAAGAGUUCUAACUCAACAUUUAGUUAGUUCUGGAGGCACUUUCCCACAAACUCCGGUGCGGGAAACCAUUCGCGCACACAGGAAAAUCUCUACUAGAGCAAUUUCUAAAUAAAUCAACAUCACGGCUGUUUGGCAAAUUGGCAAGUCUGAAAAUGUUCAGCCAUGGUACGUAAUUUAAAAAGAAAAAAGAAUCGCGUUUAAAUUCUACUACUUUGGAAGUGAUUUGGACUCUUGAUAAUGUUCUCGCUAAUUUGGUCUUGGCUAAUUCCCACCCACCCCCGAGCCAGCUUUCCCCUAUAAUACAGCGUCCAACCAUAGAGGAUGAACACUAAAGAUUUGUUCACUCAUAGAGCAACUCGCAGCGACACGAUUUCCGGUGACACGAGUGAUCGCGACCUUUGGCGACUAGAUGUGGGCGUGUCCAGUGAUGCUACGAUGGGGAGGAAAGUUUAACUCUAUGCAAAUUUGGAGCGACUUGCUGUAGAGACUAUCAAUGGGAGUGAAGACUGUAGAGAGUGCACGGGAUCCGUAGCUUUCUGUGCUCGCUCGAAGAACUAGCAAGGAUCUGAGGCCAACGUGCUCGACCUCAGCACACGGGGACGAGCGGCGGCAGCAUUUCACCCAGGAAACAUGGCGGUCGUGGCUGAGGAGGCCAUGACUUAAGCUAGGCUAAACUAAACUACCUGGCGCUUGUGCUUUUGCUGCAGAGGCAAAGAGUAAACACUGCAGCGUCAUCUCCGUAGGACAUGACCGUGUGGCACCCCUCCCACCCAGACAGCGCACGCACACUUUUGCUCCCUUUGACACCAGGCCUUGGAUGGUUGUGGCAUCGUCAGGAUUCGAACUUCCCGGCGAAUUCUGGCCAGCGCUUUUCUGCUGCACCAUUCAGGAGCCCCUUCCUCUGACUUUUGCCCAUCCCAGCAUGCGUUUUGGUACGAGAAGGUCUUAAACCAAAAGUCAGGAAUAUUUGGAUUCCACCAGCGUCUUGAUUUUUUGUUUAUUUAUUUUUUUUGAACGAUCAUAUUUCAGAUAGGGAUGGAUGGAAAGUGACGCUUAUAAUAACAUGAAGAGCGAGAAUGUUUUCCAAUGAAUACAGUUCUGUUGCACAUCACUUUCGCCAUGUUUUAUAAUCUAAGAGAAAGCAGCCUGUGGUUGAACGCGGCCGUAGGCUGCGGAAAUGCCCUACAGGAGGUGACGAAAUAGAGAAAUCACACUUCUCAUUAAUUGCUUUGUAAGUGCUCUGCCAUUUAUUUAUUUAUUUAUUUAUUAUUAUUUUGUUGCAUAAGCUUAAUGUUUCACUUGCAGAACUUGCUGAGAGAUGGCAACAGCCUUCAUAUUCCCUGGAAAAAUGUUUCCUCUCUCUCCUCAUGCCUUAUUAUAGGCAUGGUUCUCUCUCCAUCCCUUUCUUGAAGCCUGACACAAUGAUUCACUUUUAUCUCAUUUUAUCCUUUUCCUGUCUGCUGUCUGGCCCACGUUCCGUCUCUCUCUCUCUCUCUCUCUCUCUCUCUCUCUCUCUCUCUCUCUCUCUCUCUCUCUCUCUGUCCUCUCUCUCUGUCCUCUCUCUGCUGAGUCAGUAUGUAUUUUCACGCAUGGAAUUUACGACCACAGCGGUACAACUGGUUCUGUACCGCUCGCGUCUCAUGUGGCCUGCCAUGACAUUUUACGAGGUGGAGCACUUGUCUCAUUAGCAUACAGCAUUCCACCAAAGAGUCCAAACUAGGACAGAGUUGAGAGCCGCUGUGGCUAUUCUGGAUCUGCAGUCUAUAAUGUACACAGUGAUGCCGUUGCCAGAUGUCUUAAAAUACUCCUCUAACCCUCGCUCUACUUCUCCUCGACUCCAUGUGCUCAGCAGACAGGCCUAUGAGGUCUCAUGCUGAUUUUGGUCAUUGCAGUGCGAGUGAUCUCAUUCGGUUCGCUCUGCGUCUUUAUUCCUUGUCAAGCUAUCCCUUUUUUUUUUUUUUUUUCUUCUCCUCCCGCCGUCUCUUUAAACGCUUUACUUUUUGCUCUUGGCGAGCUUCAUGGAACGUGCCGUGAAUGCCAAGGAGCAUGAGUGCACGAGUGAGAAGCUGUGUGGUUGGCGAGAAAAGUAGAAACCUUGUAAGUUUUGAAUAAAUGUCGUCUGUCUCCGUUUUAAUCCGACUCCCUGCACAAACGGCGUGCUGUAAGUCACUGGAGUUCACUGCAAGUGAGACUCUACCCAAAAGCCCCUUGCCAACGCUGUGUUUUUUUUUUUUUUUUUUUACACACGUUUACCGUAAGCGGUCUCCAAUUUUGCCGUCAGCUUGAACAACGUACCGAUCCGGCUGUGGUACGGUGCGUUCAAGACUAAAGCCUUUUCAUUGCUGAGGAACAGCAUGACUGGCUUUAUUGUCGAGUAAAUUCCAAAAAGCAUACGUUUUUUCCUUGAGACCAGAAAGAUUGGAGAUCUUUUUCAUAGGAGUGGAGUAUUAUUGACUUUUAUGUUGAAUGUAAUUGGCAGCUCUCGCUUUUAAAAAUGUCCAAAACCUAUCCGCAAUCGGAAUUCUGUAUUAGCCCCCUGGAAUUUGGAGAGGAAUAUUCGGGUAACACUCGAUGGAACUGAACGUUUAAUUGAAUAAAUAUCAGUACCCAAUAAAAGAAAAGUGGGCUGAAUAUUAAAAAAAACAAAUCAUGAUUUUUACUGUAUUUGCAACCGGCUGCGUUUCUGAUUGCUUCGGAGCUCGGCUCUCUCUCCUCAGCGCCGCUAUAAUUGGAUAUUGCUGAGUCAUUUCCCUGAUCUUCAGUGUAAUGCUGAUGUCAAAUUACAGCCUACACUUUCAAGAAGACAUUCACUGGACCUCAGAGACCUGAUGAUCUAGCACGAAACUGUUCCUGUGCACAAAGCAAGGUCCAUGGUGUGCCAAGCUUGGUGUGGAAGAACUGGAGUGGCCUGCAUGAUCUUAUAGCAUUAGCUCACAUCACUGUAUUGAUCCUUCUGUCAUGGAGCACUCCUCACUCCAGAGGGAAACCGAUCAUCCAUGCACAGCACCACUGCUCCGUGACCAAACAUGACAUCAUAUCAGUUGGUCUUGAUGAUGGUGUGACUGGGUACAAACUUUAGCUCUACUUCAGUUCCGGCGUCGGUCCUCGACUCAUAAAUAUCCGACCACGCCAGGUUUACUGCGCUGUCUCAAGACGUUUAUUUGCAAAAUUUCCUACAUGCGUCCUAGUUCAGAGGACAGACUAUGGUUUCCAUCUUAUUCUAACCUUCCCAGUUCCGAUUUUAAGGGUAUUCCUCUAGGCCCAUGCAUGGCGUUGAGGUGUACCCUGGUGGUCCUCUGGUAUCAAGCUUUGACAUGACUAUACCAGUCCCCUGAACUAAACCCAGCCUGUGGGGUGAGCUGAAGAGAGUCUACAUAAGUGGGCCUGCGACCAUGGAGGACCUGGAGAGAUUUUGAUUCUUUGCUCUGUUUCUCUUUACAGUAUACGGCGAAGAUAAUUUUCCAUAACCUUUCUUACCCGUCUUUAUUAAAGGUGCCAAUAAUUCUUGAGCUGACCACCUUUUGGUCGAUGGAGGGCCUUUUCCGUUUGCAGUUCACAAGAAUACCCAUGGUGUCCCAAUACUAUUGCUAUAUAUAUAUAUAUAUAUAUAUAUAAUGCCUGCCUUUAGGAAUGACUAGCAGUGGAAAUUUAGCUGCAGCUGUAGAGUGGUCUAGUUCAGGGGUCACAGAGGUCUAAAGGGUGUAAAGAACACAUUGUUAUCAACUUAGCAUUUGUGGGGCAUCGGGUGUAUUAGCUUCGACAGCAUGGUGGGGGUCAUGGGGGCAACAUACCGCUCAAUCCUGCCAAUAGCAAAGUAGCUGGAACGCUUAUGCGAUCAUUUUGAUCUUUCUAGCUCAGCGUGUGAGUAAUACCCAAGGCUGAGCAGACGAGGCUGAGCAGACACCUGUUGCUAUGUCUCUCUAGUCAGAGAUUAAUUUAUGAAGCGUAGCUGUAGCGUGGGAUCUGUGCAGGGCUCCUAUUGGCUUUUCAUAUCUGGGGGUCCGGGCAGGAUCUAAAUGUGCACACGGGUGUGCUGAGGUUUUCUCUGAAUCUAUUUAUGUAAUAUAGUGUGAUAGCUGAUAGGAACAUGUAUCUUUUCUGCCCACUAUUCUGGUAUGGGUGUGAUGUCCAUGCUUGGAACUGAGAGGAGUGUGUUCUAGGAACAUCCCACCCUUUGUAGUUAUCUGGAACAGCUGCAGUGGGUAACGGCCUAUGUAUGCUAUGAGAUUACUUUACCAGCGUUGCUUUUUCUUAGCUUUGGCUUGUGUGGAGCGGCUGUGGUUCAGGUGGUAGAGCGGGUUGUCCACUAAUCGUAGGGUUGGCGGUUCGAUUCCCGACCCACAUGACUCCACAUGCCGAAGUCACCUUGGGCGAGACACUGAACCCCGAGUUGCUCCCGAUGGCAAGUUAGCGCCUUGCAUGGCCGCUCUGCUACCACUGGUGUCUGAGUGUGUGUGUGUGUGUGUGUGUGUGAAUGAGAGCCAGUGUGAAGCACUUUGGAUAAAAGCGCUAUGUAAGUGUAGCUCAUUUACCAUUUAUGUUGAGUCAUCGAGACAAUCCACUAUUGAUGUUGGUGAUGGGACAAUUAACAUUGAUUGAGCGUUGUUUAAGUAACUGUGAUAUUGGUGAGUUAAUGAACUGGUUUGCAUUACGUUCCCCUAUCAGGUUCUCCAUACAUACACUACUACACAAGUAUGUGGACACCGGACCAGAUGGAUUUAAUAAGCAUUUGCUGCUAUAAUAACCUCCACCUCUUCUGGGAAGUCUUUCCCCUAGAUUUUAGGACACGGUUGUGGGUUUGCCCAUUCAGCCACAAGAGUUAGGUCGUGCACUGGACACGAUGGACAAGAACGCCUGGCUCGCAGGCCUUCCAGUUCAUCUCAAAUUUGUUCAAAUUUAUUCUCAAAUUUGUUCAGUAGGCUUGAGGUCAGGGCUCUUUCGCAGGUCACUCGAGUUCCACACCAACAUCAGCAAAACCAUGUCUUUAUGGACCUUACUUUGUGCAAUGGGGAAUUGUCAAGCUUGUCAUGCUUCCCAUUCUCAUGGGAAACCAUAAUGCUACAGAAUAUCUUCACAAAAACAUCCUGUACAGUCCCUAGAGGAUCCCACGAUUUUGCGAUCACAGAAAUGAAUGCGAAAUCAAACAAACGCCCUAAUAUUCGAAGGAGCUCGCAUUUUUUUUUAUUUUUAUAAAUUACCGCAGAUUUUCCUCGGAUUUGGGUCCAGGUGGGUCGUAUGACGUCAUCACCACGCGCAUUGAGUCGAUGCCGUGUUCGAGUCACGUGCGACCAACACGAGUACAGAUAAAAGGUCUAAUUUACCAACAAACAUCACUGCGAAAGACGAGACAAAACAAUUUUGUGCGAUUGCAAUUUUGCCAGUUCGAAAAACUCUGCUAAUUCCACCAGAAAUUCAAUAUUCAAAUCCCGAUGAUGCUACACUCGUUUGUGGCCGGAAGGGGUGGCGUCUUCAAUCUCCCCUGUCGAUCACAGCAACACUGCUAGUGCAAGUGUGGGCAUCUGUGAGCGCGUGUUUGCAAUCUGUCGAAUAAUUAAUAAUGCCCGAAGUACGUUAUUAAAGCAUAACUUUGUACACUACAAUUUAAAGUCCCCACAAUUCCUCUUAAAUUCGAAUGUUACGUGUGUAUUUAUUGCCACUUUGUAGCCUAACCCUGUCUGCUAACGUCCACGCUACACGACCGAAUACGCACGUCACGUGACCAUUCGUGCACACUGGGCACGCGCAUACGAGUGUAAACAGGAAGUCGGUUGUUGGUCCGAACCGGUGUUCCGUGUAGGGCUUACGCCGCUCGAAAUGAGAUUUGUUGGCGAUCGUUCUAAUCGUAGCUCGCCUCUUGCGCAUGUAGCAGCUGCAGUAUUAUAAAAUACAGAAUUUAUCUGCUAAGAACGACGACAAAGCCAGCAAAGCUUGCGGUUCAGUCUCCGUGGUGUUGUGUAUACGAUCGAGGUGGCGCGAUAGUCCUACGGUAGGGGCUUGACGAAUCAAGGAAAGAUACGCAAUGUUCCAGAAGACCCGAUCGGGGGGCGAGUGUGGGCGAAGCCACACCUUCUUUUCAAAAGUCUGCGUUUUGGUCUGUUUCCACGGAAGUGCCAGCCCGGAGUUUUCAAACUGCGCCUUCCCUGCGCCGCUCUACGGUGAUUGGCUGUAAGUUUAUGAAGCGCUUGAUGUGAUCUACAGCGGAGGAUGAACUUUAAAUGUCAGUAUCGCAGUCCAUCAUGCUCAUGUAAUCGUGGGCCGUCAAAAUCGUAACGGAGAUGGAUGUUCGAUUAAUUGUGCAGCCCUAGCAGACGCCAUUAUCCAGAGCUACUUACAUGCAUCUUAUUUAUACAACUGAGAGUCAAGGGCCUUGUUGAAGGGCCCAACAGUGGAAGCUUGGAAGUACUGGGGUUUGAACUCCUGGCCUUCUGAUCAGUAACCCAGAGCCUUUAACCACUGAGCCACCAGAGCAAAUGUAUCUAAAGGUCUUUGUAGGUGUGUGAUAAGUCAAUGUGAUUGUUGUUCUGCAGGCCACCUUGUAGAACUGAUGAAGCCUUUUGCAUGAGCAGCACUGAAGUGCCUUCAGUGUAAUAGAACACCUUGGCCUACUUCUAGAUGGCGAAUCCUACAGAUCACAUGUCCUGCUUAUGAGAGGCGACGGAUAGAGUCGUAACGUAUGCAGUUUGUCACUGCAGAGCUAAAAAAAGAGCUGUGAUUUUUAAACCGAUUUUUCUUCCAUGUAAUGACAACUAGGUGUGUCAAGGUUUCGCACACAUGAACUGUUAUCAAUGCAAUUCAUGCCCAUGUUCUGUUUAACUAAUGAAAAGCCUUUGUAAUUAUGGUUCCAAACGGUAACUAGUGGAAGGCCUGAAGUCGUCUCUCAUAAGAAGUAAAGAUGCCGAUUUUAUUCUUUCCACACUCGCGCACGGUCCAUUCAUGCAAUCCAAUCCGCCAUGUGCCUUCGCAUAUCGAAGCUAAGUUUUAAAGACUUGCGCGCAUUUGCACAACUGUGACCACGGCUUGGACCGCCGCCCCGGGAAAGGCGCAGAGGUGAGCGUGUGUGAACGGAUCGCCUUUCCUGAGCCUUUAACUCAGCUGCAACGAUAUGUCACGAUAAGGCCUUUCUGUCAGACCAGAGCUCCCCCUCUCCCCCUCUCUUUUUCUCCUGUCUUCUCCCCUCCUCCCCCCUCAGGCGCCAGGCUGACUUCUCCCCCAUCCCUCCAUCCUGAAGCCACUGGCAUAACGGCGCCAUUGGCGUUUCUGGAACUUCUGCUUCUGGCUGACGUCCAAGGUGUAAAUCCUGCUUCCUUGUGCUAACGGUUCAGCGACGAUCCAGAUUGAAGCUCACCGCGUCAUGUAUCGCCGUGAUGGGGUUAUUACUGGAGCGAAUGGACGGCCGGAGCGUCUGCUCCGAGUUGAGAAUCCGGAGAGUCUCGUACAGACGUGGAAGCGUCCCUUUUGCGUCGGUUUCGGACGCCUAGGGGCGUGACAACUUGUCGGUGUUUCACGAGUCGGGAACGAGAACAGCAACAAUCCAUCUCUUGGGUUUGACACGUGCACUACACUGUUGUCCUCCUGACAUAACACGUACUUUUGUCUGAUUAAUAUAUGGAUUUGUAAUCGUUCGUUUGUGGCCACGGUGGGAAACGGUGAAAGCAGUUGAACCCGCUUGAACCAUGCUUCUUAACCGCUGUGGAUUCUUUUGAGUCGUCUUAUCCGGUUUUCUAAGCUCUCUUGCACAUUUAUGGUUAUAGUUACCUAUAUUUCCUGCUUUAUCAGAAAACAUUAUCAAGUGCUACUCUAGACAACAAGUCAGUACUUUUUUUUUUUUUUUUUUUAAAUGGCAAAUCGAUGCAUUCAAACUGAACAUGAUCUCAAAUCAUGAAGCAUUUGCGGUGUUGGAAAGUAGCGUAAAAGUAGCGUAGCAUUCACAAUGUAUAACGUUUUUUUAAUAAGUGUUGUGUCGAGUAGUUUCUGCUUUGGGUUUUCUUCAAAGUCGAAUCCCCCAAAGAGUCGAUUCAGGCGCCGAAACCACUGAAUAGUCAAACCGUAAAGCUUUGGAGUCAAUUCCAGACCGCACAGCAAUGAUGAUUCGCCUCACCUACACACCCAGCUAGCAAAAUACAUGUAGCAUUAGAGUUUAUUUUGGGUCACGAAACAGAGAGUAGAUAUUUUUAUUCGGCCUUUGUUUUGAAUUGAACAAGUCGGGAAUUGAAACGCGGUAUAAAGGUGUCCCGAAAGGCCGCGUACGUAGCACCACAUGGACUGUGCGUCCGUCAGUGGAUGUUCCUGGACGUCCAGGUCUUCUCGGAUGGUCCACAACACUUAAUAAGUCUGGCGAGAGUGUCGUGUGUGUGUGUGUGUGUGUGUGUGUGUGUGUGUGAUGUGCUCGCCUUGCCACGUUUCCUGUUAAAAUCCAUCGCGACCCUGCGACGGCUUCCCCGUCCACACCCAUGAGAGUGAUUUCUAUACGUUAUAUAUAAAAAUGUGUGAUAUAAACUAAGAAUUAAACAUUUUGGAAGACAUUUUGCUAAAAGAAAGAAAAAGAAAAAAAAAAUCCUCUAUGGCACACUCUUUGAAAUAAAGGUUCCUCAAUGGUUCUUUAAAGGUUCUGCAAAGAACCUUCUGGUCAAGAACCGUUUUUCAUUGUCUUGAGUGGAGCUAUAUGGAACUGUCUUUGGAGAUGAAAGAAGUUCUUUGUUUCAUUACAGGUUCUAUAGGUAAUAAUAAUAAUAAAAGAAGUUGGGUUCCACCUGCAUCAUGGAUUCAAGUCAAGUCAUGGAUUCAGUCAAAAUAACUCGCGGGGGGUCGAGAGAGAGAGCAAGACAGAGCGCAAGAGAAAUGUAGCCAGCUGUACCAGAGAACUGAAACUGGAACGCAGCAGACUUUCCUACAAGAGCGAGCGUUUUAUUCCUCUUUUGCCACAGAGACUCGCAACGAUUACAAUUCUUUAUUUAUUAAACAAUUUUUAAUCCGUAUAUAGUCAUCUUUACUGUUCUGUGAAACGAGUCACUUCCUGUUCCCGCUUACGUUACAGCAGCUACAAACACUCCGAGAAACCAAAGAAAAUGUCUGGAAAAAAACUUAGUUACAGCUUUACCUCCGACACUUCCAUGAAGUGUUAGAUAAACAAUCAUCUCCUUACAGAAAACUCCACCGCGUCGACGAUUUUUAAAAAAAUCUGUUCAUCAUCAGUGACCCGAGUCCCUGUGAACGAGCCGUUACUAUAGAAACGACGGCGCAUCAGAACGAGCGAAUUAAUGUAAACCUGCGCUACGGUCAGAGCUGCCGUGUUAUAGAGAACUAAAUCGACACCUUCCGACCAAUCACAAUCCAGAACUCGACAGCGCUGUCAGAGCUGCCGUUAUAGAGAACUAAAUC